rnacentral:tRNA from 1 species
UCUCUGAUAGCUCAACUGGGAGAGCAAUAAGCGUUAAGCGUAUAUGGACUGUGGGUUCGAGCCCCACUCAGAGAA